rnacentral:misc_RNA from 1 species
GACCCCACCAAAGCUGCCUUGAUAUGCACCAAUCACGUAUAUUCUCAAGCCACCUUUUCCACUCUGCCAAAUAUUGUUUCGGAAAGAAUUCAAGCUUUGAAUUUUCACCAUCAAUUGCUGCAUCAAGAGCCUGCUUUGCCAUACUACUGCAAUCAACAAACCAUUGGGGCUUUAUCAUUGGCUCCACAACAUCAUUGGUUCGUGAACAACAGCCAAGUCGCAUCUCAUUGUUUUUAGCACCCCUAUACAAUCCCUUUUUCUGUAAUGCUUCCUUCACUGCCUCACGGGCCUUGAAACGUGGCAUCCCAGUGAACUCUGAGCCACCAUUGCUAUUAAUCUUACCAUCAUCAGUAAAAAUAUUAAUAAAUUCAAGAUUGUGACGCUUCCCAACCUCAAAAUCAUUUGGAUCAUGCGCUGGAGUGAUCUUGACAGCACC